rnacentral:rRNA from 1 species
CAGUAGCCGCGCGGUAAUACAGAGGGUGCGAGCGUUAAUCGGAUUUACUGGGCGUAAAGCGUGCGUAGGCGGCUUCUUAAGUCGGAUGUGAAAUCCCUGAGCUUAACUUAGGAAUUGCAUUCGAUACUGGGAAGCUAGAGUAUGGGAGAGGAUGGUAGAAUUCCAGGUGUAGCGGUGAAAUGCGUAGAGAUCUGGAGGAAUACCGAUGGCGAAGGCAGCCAUCUGGCCUAAUACUGACGCUGAGGUACGAAAGCAUGGGGAGCAAACAGGAUUAGAUACCCCCGUAGUCCCUGUCUUUUAU